rnacentral:sRNA from 1 species
AGAGUCGACAGGUUUCCUCUGGAGUGGCGUGAGUGGCACCCAAUCAAAUUUUUCUUGUCCGCCCAUGUACGUGGCCGGACUGGCCAGCAAAGCAGUUUAUGCGGGGCAAAAAUAACCACGAACUAGUUGAAGUCAGUCAAAUUUGAAUAUUACAAUUCGCACAGAAGGAAACAAUUGAAAUAUUAAAGUGAAAUUUGAACGAUCGCCCGUUGGAAUUCAUACAGAAUUCAUACGGAAGCCAUCAGGCUUUAUCGAAUAAACGAUAUAAAUCAACGAAAAAUGUCAUGCUAUAAGCAUCAAAACUCUUGGAUUAUCCAUUUCGCGAUCAAACAAAGGCAUAGACCAAAACGAUUUCAAGGAUUUCCAACCGCGACGAAAUGUGCAAAAUGUAAAUUUCCCAAAUUACAUCGAAGUAUGUAAUUGCACUCUAAACAUUAGAAAUAGAUAGAUAUGGGAAAUGAGAAGGUGAGAAGCACUGCCAGCAGAGGGAGGCGGAGAGAGACUGGGCGGAAAAACCUUACCUGGGAAAAGUUUUGCCGCAAAAAGCACAAGCCCCACUCCAGCGAGGAAAACGGGAUCCAUAGUAGUAUGGGAAUAAGGAUGCGGCUGUGGAUGAGUAUUUGAAUCCGGAUGCAGAUGGGACUGGGCUGGAAAUGUGGAUAGGGAUGGCAUAUUUUCAUUUGAAAACCAAGCUGCGUCUGAUUACAUCAUAAGAAAUGCGUAAUAAUUGCGUUAACAUUACGGUCUUCGAGAUGAGAACCCAACAGCAGCAGCCGCAGUCACAGCCACAGCGAGCGUCGGCAGGAGCAACUUUUACGAAGAUAGGACGCCCCGACCAUCCAACCAAUCUCUGGCCGCAUUAAGCGCGUCCAAACACGCUAUGUGGGCGGUGGGGGGUAGUGCGAGGAGGGGUAGUCGACAAAUAUAGCAUAAGGAAAAGGCAUAACAUAA